rnacentral:lncRNA from 1 species
AAGAUUACUUGAAAAAGCAUCUUCUCCAUUUAUGAAAAAUUACGAAAAACUAUGUGAUUAUUUGGUGACUGGAUCAAGUAUAAUAAUUGGACAUGAACUGAUUUGCCUUAGGGAAUAUUUUUAUCUAUUACCAAUACUGUUUAUGACACAAAAUUUGCAUCAUAACACCAGAAAAACUGAUCUAAAGUUUUUGAUGGGUAUCUCUAGGGGAUAGAAUAAACAUGAGAAGAGAAAAGGGCUUCACUAGAAGGGUACUAAUUAUUGAGGUUACCCCUUUUCAAGUUGAUAGAGAUGACUUGGUUGUAUGUGAAUUUCCCACUAUUAAAAUUUAUAUCUUUCAGCUUGAGAUGUUUCUUGACGGUUCCCUUUCAAGGUUGAUGUCGAGAAGGUACUCAAAAUUUAGUUUCUUUUAGCUGUUGUUUGAAACUUUGUUGAGGGGUGAAUGGCAUGCUAACAUUGAAUGUGACAAUGUAGGUGAAGUUGGUCAUUCAGAGCAUGGUCAACCAUCUCAUGUCUUCAUUUUUGUUCUCCGCAG